GGAAAACGUUGGAAUGUGAUAAAUGAGGCGUGGAAGCAAGAGCAAUGGAAGGAGGGACGGCAGGGGAAGUGUGCUAAGUGUAGCCCGGGGCCACCUUCUUCAACCUCUGUACAGUAUGUGGAUGUCUUCAGAGCUGUAGUAACCAGAGCAAACAUAUGACAAGGAAGCACCACUCAGGGUGGCAAAGACCAGGUGAAGAACCUGUUGUGGUCAUGUAGGCCUUUAUUGAAGUCUGAUCUCGCACUGGAGCACCUGGCGAAUGUGGUGUAAAUAAGAUGUUCACAUGCAUUUACUAUGACAAAGAGCAGAGCACUCAUAAAUGUCUUUUAAGACGGAUGGCAUAGUUUUGAAGCUAACAGCAUUCCUCUAAAUACUUAACAGGAGAAUCCACAGAUUAUCUAAAUUGUUUCCAUAACACGCAUUUGUCUCAGGCCUCGCAAAUGCUUGUUAGGUAUGUUUAACCCUCAUCACUGAAACUAUAGUGGAGCACCUGAUAAACUUGAACCAGGGUUCCUGGUGGGGCUGACUAUGGUGACUCACUAUCAUUGCAUCACAUCAGGAAAAGGUUGUGAUGCAAUGCAGGGACAAUCAAGAAAGUGACGUGUCAUGUUUAAACUACUGUAAAGUCCUGUUUGAAUGCUGUAUGAAUAUUGUACAAAUCAGGUUUUCAAAAACCUUAAUCUAUACACGGAUACACGGAUUUGGAUUUAGAUAGCUGGCUUAAUCAGUCAAGAUUGGUAUUUAAUCAUCACAGACAAGUUACUAUUAGUAAAAAGAUGACUGUUUUGUCAUGGUAUUCAAGAUUAAUUAAUUAAUUAAUUGCCAGGCAUGUGGACAUCUAAGUCCUUAGGGAAUCUAUAUAAAGUGCAUGGUCUCAGAUUUCCUAGACAAAGUAAAGAGAAUAGUAGAAUAGACACGUCUUAGGACAGAUUGCAUUCAGAUAUGUGCAUACAUGGGAAACGCCACCACAGUAAUGGCAACUUGUUUACUUCCCUGGAUUAAUGUAUAGCUUCCACUUGUUGCUUGGUGAUUGGAGGUUUCUUACAGAAAUGUAUAUGCAAGCUUGGACCUGUGAGUUUUUACAAAG